ACAGGUGGUUGACGAAGGAGGGGCGAGCAAGACAUCAUUAGCACCACGGACUUUAUAUUACAUGUGGCAGCACAGUGCUGAAUGAUGGUCAGAUGACUGCUUCAGUUGCUGUCUGUCAGCGGAGGAUAUAUAUAUAUAACACACAGGUGGUGGGCCCGAUUUUCUAUAGACGUAGAAACGUCAUUAGGUGAAACAAUUGUUUUCCAUGGUAACGCGAAAGAAGGAAUCAGAGAUCGUUGUCGCUGUUACUACCUUAUUAUUCUUUCCUGUUAGUGAUUGUUUCCCGUCCAGCGAUUGUCUUCUACUGAAAGUUUUUUUGAGAGUUCCUCUAGAUCGGUAUGUGGCUCCAGUCAUCGCCAUGGUCCAAGGCUGUGAACUCGUCACUGCUGUGUCUGGUGUCCAUGGCAACGUUGCAGUCAUCAAUUGUCGGCGUCAACGGCGUCUUUGUUUUCAACGUGAGCGACCUCACCCACCGAACUCUUCCCGCCUUUGAACAGAACUUUCUGAAGAUCACGAACUACGCUCUCCAGAAAGAAAACACGGCCUACCUGUUCACAAGAAUCGCUUUGUCGAGCGCUGGCGUUGGGAAGGAGAAAGGGGUUGGAGGAAUAGAAAGGUUUAAAGACAUGCUGAAAGGCCUCGUGUCUGCAGUUGACGAAAGAUAUUCAGGGGUCUUGCAAGCCCUCCAAGGCCUGAAAAGAGAAUUUGAAAAAAAUAUCCACAACGCAACGGACCACUCUCCGCCGAGACUUCAGUACAAGUGCUGCGAUGGACCUCCACCCAUUUACAGGUAUCAAGGGAGGUAUCGGGAGGAGGUGAACAUUAGCAGGGAGUGCUGGGGACAGACUCCAGAAACUGCAAGUCAAGUCUUUCGGCUCAGGGCAGACGGCGCUUUCCAUCUCAUGAAGAAAAAUUAUGAAAACAACACAGCCUUGCUUUGGCAGUACGUGGCUUCCCUUGAUGGCCACUUUGUCCAAUUCCCUAGCAAGAACCGUCACUGCGACCAUAACGGCAACUCUGUCAGCCCCUUGACGAUGCGAUGGAUGAUGGAGAAAGUGCUGCAGCAGCGACUCAACCUCGUUCUGCUGCUGGAUGCAGGAAACCACAUGUUGCACACCGCCGUCAGCAGCAGCGAUCAAGCUCCAGUCCAGCACUGGUUGAUGGCGAAGGAGGCUGCGAAAAGGGUGGUCAACGAACUGGUGGCGAUGGACAGGGUCAGUGUCAUCGUCUUGACCAACCAGUCUGUGUUCACUCCCCCUGGAUGCAGGUGAUCGGCUCCUCGCGGCAACGAAACGAAACGCACAGGUGAUGUGGACAUUUCUGGACAACACCGUGCCGAAAGGAGCGAGCAAUUUUUCCAAAGGACUUGAGGUGGCCUACAAUCUAUUUAGAACCACGAUUAGGGAGCAGAACAGGACAGACGCUAAGAAUGUCAUUAUUCUGAUGACUAAUGGAAUGAUGUCAAACGUAGAACAAACGACCAUUUUGGAUGUCGUUGACAAAGGCAAGAAGAGUAUGGAUCGCAGUGUUUUUCAUCUCGUCCACGUCAUCAAACCGCUCGCCGGCUUCACUCGUUACGAUGUGACGGUGUUCCGCCAGCUUGUCGAGCGCAGCAACUGGACCAGCGCCAGGACUAGUUGGCAGAGCUCACAUCGUCGUCCCGUGGAAUUUGCGUGGUGGCUCAAAGAGAUUCCGGAUAAUGUAGGGUUUGGGUUCGCUGACAAAGUCGCCAAAUUUUACACCGUUUUCCCCCCAGAAGACAUUUUCAGUAGCCUUGACCGCAUUCUCGCAGUUCUCCUUACAUGGAUCAAAACACAGGUCUCAUCUUAACAUACGCCGUGCAAGUCUUCAACGACACGUUGCCCAAGCUCUACGGAGUCGCAGCUGUCGAGGCGUCUAUGGCGUCCAUGUUCAGUGACGUCACAUCCUUUCAGUGGGGGGUGCACAGCUACAGCUUUCUGGUGGAGCGAGAUCGAGGCUUGGUGCUUGUGCACCCCAAACUGGACAUCCCUUCUCACAAGACGGCCACCGACCCUGUCUUCACCACCAUGGACUUUCUGGAACCUUCCUUCACCCCGGAGCAACGAGCUGCCAUUCUGGCGGCGAAUUCGUCUGUCAUGACAUUUGACACGAAGGUGGCUCCUGGACGGUCAACGUACAAAAGCGGCCUUGACCUGAGCUCCGCGGAGCGCAUCCCAGCCACUAUCCUCUUCACCCGGCUCAUCCCCUCUGAUUACGUGAUUGUUCUCGCCAUAUUCGAGAACGAGAAGUCGCUGCUAGAGCCAGAUUCUGACGACAUGCACCUGGGGGCUCUGUCGGAUAUCUUCAUAUACCACAAUCACCUGUUCGUCAAUGACACGGCUGCUGACCUGUGUGUCACUGUCGACGACAUCCGGUAUCGCAACAAAGUCACGGUCAAGUUUGCCCCGAGCGUGUUCACAGAACCUGAGUUGUACAAGUACAGUCGGGAGACACACCAGGAUGUCACAGCCAUGACAGACUUCCUUUCUGAAGACGGCUAUGUCCCACCGAAAGUCAGGAAAAACCUACUGGGCAUCAUCAUCGAAGAUCUUCUUGUGGUGAACAGCAUAAGUCUAGCCCACACCUGGCUCACCUUCAACCAUGACAUCACAGAAAGGUUUAUGGCUACUCCACACGGACUCUACAUAUCCUUUCCCGGUGUGUCACUCCCAAACGCAUUUGACGCUACUGAAUAUGGCUGGUCACAGGUACAAGAAAAGCAUGGCGUGGAAGAACAUGAUUGUUGUCACAUUUCGAAGAUCUUUGACGACAGCUGAAAAAUCCAUCAGCAUCAGCACAGCUUUAACAACAAACACCAGUGCCCGGAUGUAUGGCGUGACCGGUGUAGGAUUUCCCAGGCGAGCGUUCGCAGCUUUAUUCUUCAACUCGAUUGGAACCAGCACCAUGGGACAGUACUCAUACCACCUCUUGAC
rnacentral:misc_RNA from 1 species